rnacentral:rRNA from 1 species
GCGAAGGCGGCUGUCUGGUCUGUAACUGACGCUGAGGCUCGAAAGCAUGGGUAGCGAACAGGAUUAGAUACCCUGGUAGUCCAUGCCGUAAACGAUGAAUGCUAGGUGUUGGAGGGUUUCCGCCCUUCAGUGCCGCAGCUAACGCAUUAAGCAUUCCGCCUGGGGAGUACGACCGCAAGGUUGAAACUCAAAGGAAUUGACGGGGGCCCGCACAAGCGGUGGAGCAUGUGGUUUAAUUCGAAGCAACGCGAAGAACCUUACCAGGUCUUGACAUCUUUUGAUCACCUGAGAGAUCAGGUUUCCCCUUCGGGGGCAAAAUGACAGGUGGUGCAUGGUUGUCGUCAGCUCGUGUCGUGAGAUGUUGGGUUAAGUCCCGCAACGAGCGCAACCCUUAUGACUAGUUGCCAGCAUUUAGUUGGGCACUCUAGUAAGACUGCCGGUGACAAACCGGAGGAAGGUGGGGAUGACGUCAAAUCAUCAUGCCCCUUAUGACCUGGGCUACACACGUGCUACAAUGGAUGGUACAACGAGUUGCGAGACCGCGAGGUCAAGCUAAUCUCUUAAAGCCAUUCUCAGUUCGGACUGUAGGCUGCAACUCGCCUACACGAAGUCGGAAUCGCUAGUAAUCGCGGAUCAGCACGCCGCGGUGAAUACGUUCCCGGGCCUUGUACACACCGCCCGUCACACCAUGAGAGUUUGUAACACCCGUUAGCCGGU